GCCAUGUGGUGACUGUUGUAGAAAUUUGGCACUAUAUAAAUAAUACUGAAUUAUAGAUAAAAUUAAAUUCACAACCCACAGUAUCCAAAAUGAUCCACUGUGGAUUUAUGCUCAAACAUAACACAGUCGUUUAUGUGUCACGGGAACCUUACGCAAUAAUAUGCAGGUGGUAUUAAUCAGUCAAUUAAUUAAAAAUCAGGUGGAGAAAGAGCUAUCACACUUCCUAGACAAAAAUGUAGCAUCAUCUCUGUUAGCAUUAGAGCAGGAUUACAGCUGUGCUUCAGUACAGUCUCACAAAAAAGUAACAAUCUUUACAUUUAGACAGCCACUUUUCAUUUAUUUCUAAAAUUUAUGCUAAGCUAAGCAAACCAUCUGUUAGGCAGAGGAACAUACAUAUUUAUCAUUCACAUUAUAGAGUGAUAGAGAUCUUACAUGUAAGUAAUGGAAAGGGCAAAAUGUAAAAUGUCAGACUGUAUUCUGUAUUGCCUUGUGAUCCCAUUAACUUACACUGAAAUAUACAGUAUGUAUUGUUUUGGAGCAGGCAGAUCAUGCUUCUACAGCACUCUUGCACAAGCAGAAGUAGAGCACAUGAUGGCAGUGCUAAAGCAAAAAAAACAAAAAACAAAAAAAACUGAUGAAACUUUACUUACUGUCUCCAGAAACUGGAGUGCUGCCAUGAGCGCUGGGUUUCCCCUAACUCUGCGAGUAUUUCAUGUUGGACACCCUUGAACUCCCUUUCCUGUUUUCCUGCCUGAGCAUGUCGCAUUGAAGCACGCCAUUCUGUCUGUACAGGUGAUCUUACGCACAGGAAAUGGAAACUCUGAUUGUGUAUGUGUGUGUGCUGCUUGAGGUGGGUGGGUGCGUGGGGGGGGGGGGGGGGGGGGGGGGGUGAAACAGGAUAUGUUGGGAAUAACACAAAGCACAAAAAGUGUCACAUGAUCUGAAGCGAAGGGUUGAUUUAUUUGGCUUCAGAAAGAAUCUGUUGCAUGUGGUUUGGAGGAGAGAAUGUUUUCCUUCUUUGCUCUCAGUGUGCUCAGACACAACACAUGGAAACAUUUUCUGAGAGGCCAUGGGUCUGUGAAAAAAAAAGAGCUCCAGACAUUUUAUUUCUUCUCCCUCUUUUCAUAGCUUUUUUAGAACUUUUUUCUCCCUCAAACUGAUUGAAUUACAUACAUCUGUUUGCCACAUGUAGAAAGAAACUCCCUAAUGAAUAUUUGUAUUGCAUUUGAUAAUCACGAUGUGCAAUUAGUUAUUGAUUUUUUUUUUUUUUUGCAAUAUUUGUCACUCUUACAUGUUUUAAUAUUAGACAAAGAUAACCCAAAGAAAUACAGAUGCAGUUUUUAAAUGAUGGAUUAAGGAUUAAGUUAUCUAAAACCAUCUGAGCCUAAGUGAAAAAGUAGCUACUCCCCUUAAAUCAUAAAUUAACUGCAAUUAACCACUUUUUCUUUAAAGCUAGCCACACCGACGCCUGAUUACUGCCAGACCUGCUGAAUCAAGAAAUCAC
ensembl:lncRNA